rnacentral:rRNA from 1 species
GACGAACGCUGGCGGCGUGCUUAACACAUGCAAGUCGAGCGGUAAGGCCCUUUCGGGGGUACACGAGCGGCGAACGGGUGAGUAACACGUGGGUGACCUGCCCUCAGCUCUGGGAUAAGCCUGGGAAACCGGGUCUAAUACUGGAUAUGACUCCAUGACGCAUGUUGUGGGGUGGAAAGCCUUGUGCGGCUGAGGAUGGGCCCGCGGCCUAUCAGCUUGUUGGUGGGGUGANGGCCUACCAAGGCACGACGGGUAGCCGGCCUGAGAGGGCGACCGGCCACACUGGGACUGAGACACGGCCCAGACUCCUACGGGAGGCAGCAGUGGGGAAUCUUGCGCAAUGGGCGAAAGCCUGAUCCAGCGACGCCGCGUGGGUGAAGAAGGCCUGCGGGUUGUAAAGCCCUUUCAGUGGGGAAGAAAAGCCUCGACCUAACACGUCGGGUCUUGACGUAACCCAUAGAAGAAGCACCGGCUAACUCUGUGCCA